UAACUACCAGUUUUUAACUCAAAACAGCCUAGUACAGUUUCUAGCCAGGUUACAGGAAAUAAUACUUAGUUUAUCUGUUUUUUCAUUAUUCAGCGUCUCAAAAUCCAGCCAUUAACGUUAAUGGUUCUUAAAGUUGAGGUAAGACAAUUAUUGGAUUUUGUUUUAUAGCAAGAUUUAACAAAUAUUUUAUUUCCUGACUGAUUAUUUGUUAAUUUUAUGGUUUUCAUAAAGAUGAUCCUGAGAGGUUCAGAGCUGCUUUUCGCAGUACCCUGUGCUAUUUUUAGACUGCGGGACUCUUGUGUGUAAAAGUGGGUGGAGUCAGGUCCCCAGGCUGAAACUCCAGUCAUUCUCACUAGAUCUGUCCGAGAGGAAGGAUCUCCUGAAUACCCUAACCAGAAGCCUUAAGUCUCUCGAACUAAAUAACCGUCUAGUAAAAACAUGGACCGCACCCUGUUUCUCAAGCAGCUGCUCCCUCUAUUAAAAACUGAGUCAUUCAGAAGAUCCAGCGAAAGCAGCUCAUGCAAGAAGACACGCAUCCACUCAUUCACAUGGCACAGACGACAUUCUUUGUUUGUCACAGUCUUUUUUUUUUUAAAGUAAGUCAGUUCGUCACUUAUUUAUUCUCUCUCUAUAUAUAUAUAAUAUUUUAAGCACAGAAUUUAUUUAACACUGCACUGGUUAUUUUCAGAAUUUAAUGCUUACUAUGCUUUUAAGCAGGCCUUAUGUAACAUUAGAGCAAAUCCAAUUGCAAUUUUUUUGAGAGCGCUCUGAGGAAUAGUUUAUAUAUUUAUUUUCUGCAGAUCUGUUUUGAUUUUACUGUUUAGCAGCUAUAUGACUAUAUUUCUAAAAUAAAGCUGUCAUUUACAUCCUUA